AGCGAACGCUGGCGGCAGGCCUAACACAUGCAAGUCGAACGAAGUCUUCGGACUUAGUGGCGGACGGGUGAGUAACACGUGGGAACGUGCCUUUAGGUUCGGAAUAACGCAGGGAAACUUGUGCUAAUACCGAAUGUGCCCUUCGGGGGAAAGAUUUAUCGCCUUUAGAGCGGCCCGCGUCUGAUUAGCUAGUUGGUGAGGUAAAGGCUCACCAAGGCUACGAUCAGUAGCUGGUCUGAGAGGAUGACCAGCCACAUUGGGACUGAGACACGGCCCAAACUCCUACGGGAGGCAGCAGUGGGGAAUCUUGCGCAACGGGCGAAAGCCUGACGCAGCCAUGCCGCGUGAAUGAUGAAGGUCUUAGGAUUGUAAAAUUCUUUUACCAGGGACGAUAAUGACGGUACCUGGAGAAAAAGCCCCGGCUAACUUCGUGCCAGCAGCCGCCGUAACAC
rnacentral:rRNA from 1 species